UACGAAGGGGGCGAGCGUUAUUCGGAAUUACUGGGCGUAAAGCGCGCGUAGGCGGCUUUGCAAGUCGAGUGUGAAAUCCCCAGGCUUAACCUGGGAACUGCAUUCGAGACUGCAUAGCUAGAGUAUGGGGAGAGGGAAGUGGAAUUUCAGGUGUAGCGGUGAAAUGCGUAGAUAUCUGAAGGAACAUCAGUGGCGAAAGCGACUUCCUGGACCAAUACUGACGCUCAUGUGCGAAAGCGUGGGAGCAAACAGG
rnacentral:rRNA from 1 species